UUCAUAUCUGCCGACAUUGCAAACUUCCUCCAUGCACAGAAAAGGGGAAGAGAAGUUUUUACAUAGUGCUGAGUUUUAAUCAUCUAAUCAUGUUUCUCUUACUUUUACAAUGAAAUAUUUGUCAGGCACUAAAUCUAUGUGAGCACCAAUUAAUAAUGAAGAUAAUUUUAAAUUAUUCAUAUGUCUAAAGAGCCUACUGAGCAAAAAAUUAACAUUUCCCAUUCAUUAUGUGUACAUUUCCACUUAGAAUUUGUAUUCAGAAAGAUGAUACAGAAUUUCCUAGUUUAGCUGUGAAGGAGGAGGUUGCCAAUAAGAUUUGCUGCUGAACUUUUCUAAUCAAGAUUAGUGGGUUGGGUUUUUUGUUUUGUUUUGUUUCUAACAUGUUUAAAUUCCCCUGUAAUUUAAGUUACAUAAUGUGAUCAAGAUUUGGAAUGAGGUAGACCUUUCAUAAUGCAAGAACAUGAUAUUUAUGUCUUACCAAGAUCUAUCUUUGCUCUCCCAAACCAAACGACCUUGAUAAAGAAAAUAUCCAUGUGUCCCCCAAUACACACACACACCAGAAAGCUCACCACUCUAGGCAAAUACUCCCUGGACGUUGGUUUUGUCGUUACCCAAAGAUUUCCACCGUGGGAUGAGCAAGGUCCACCACCCUCUCCUGGGCCAGGGCAACUGGGCCCCUCCAUGGAAAACUACAACCAGAAUCAUGCUCUAAAUCACCUCAGAAAAUACCCGCUCACCCCACUCACUCUACUGUUCAGCUUCUCACAUGGGUAUUCUCGGAUACAACAAUUGUGAGCAUAAACUCUCCUGUACGCUACUUACUCCCCCUUGACUAGGAUUCGUUGAUGACGAUUAAGGUCCUGGUUUCAGAAAAAAAUGUUCACACAGGAUUAUGUUGAAAGUAAAAUGUGUAAAAUAGAGAAAAUGAUCUAAUGAUAAUCAUCUUAAUAGAUAUUUUACGAUAUAUGUAAGAAAAUGGUCAAAGACCUUUGUAUUUAAAUUGCAAGCGAAAUACCUACAUUCAUGAAGAGCAGAGAGAAAAACAGGGAGACAAUGAAUGGAAUGCAUGGCUAAUAUAUUGGCUUUAAAGUUUGUAAUGUGAUUUAACAAGCCCAAAGCAUGGUAGACCUGGCAGGUUGUCCAGUGAUGAAAUAUUUGAACAAACUUUACUCCUCCCUACCAGACAGACAGCUGAGCAAGGAGCAUCUGCCAGGGACCAGCAGUAGAAACUUUCAUGCCUCGUUGUGUGUGUCUUCGUGACCACUAACAAAACACCCUCCAGUCCAACUGACACCCCCAAGCUACUAUUUUUACAUCUGAACGGGAUGAUCCCCUGCCAGCUCUGCUCCACAGACCUUGGCAGUUGGUCAGCAGCACCAAUCCGUUCCCAGCUUUGCUGCUGUGAUGGCCGUUGGUGGUGUCUUAUUGAAGGUCUUUGUUCAGUAUUAUUUACCUCCAUUCUGCCAGGAAAAUAAAGAUAUACUUAUUGAAAUGUAUGAUGUGUUUUAUUUUCACUUGAUGCUAGAAAUACAUUUUAAAAAAUACAGCCUACCUGAAGCCAAAUAGAGGGGAAAAAUAGGAAUUUGGUAAUGUUUAUUUUAGUGAAAACUAUGUCUUUCUUUGGCUACUCUAAUCAUGGUAGCCAAACUUGUUUCUUUGUUUCAUUCACAAACCACAUGCCUGCUGUGCUCAUUGCUUGUUAUAAUUUUGUAAUAAUUUGAAACAGAGUUUGGGAUUUUCCCAAAGGAAGAGACCUGUUUUUAUCUUCUACCAAUACCAUGUCUUGCUAGCAGAGAUCUGAUGAUACUUCAUUGAUCUGAGGAGAAGUACUGUGCACCAGCACAGCCAAGAUCAGGGAUAUUGAGUUUCAUACCAUCCUCCAAGUGUCCCAUAAAUCAUAAUCUAUGAGAAUGCUCCUUUUAGCCCACCCACAGUAUACACUCAAGGAAAAGACUUUCAGAUUUAUUAGGUAGGGAUCAGUGCCCAUAAAGAUAUGGAUUUCCUAGAAUGACUGGUGUGUGGAUGAAAGCAGCAUAGUGAGGAUGAAGCCGUUUGUGUCAAUCAAACUCAGACUUACAAAGAGAGGAAACAUGCUGCUUCUGCUGUUUGUACUGCAAAAACAUUGCUGUCUUAAGGCCUGCAUAUCUGCCUCAUAGGUAUUGCAUGAGCAUUUAUGGAAUGGAUCUAUAGGAAAAAAACAAACAAACAAACAUGUUCUGAUCUUCUUCCUGUGGGUUUCCCAGAAAGAAUAUUGCCUCUAUUCUACUGUUGGGGAUUUAAAAGAACUUUUCAAUUUUAAGCAGAAAGAAACAGAAAUUUUUGCAAAUCUGGGCAGCAUUGAAGGGAGACAUCACUAGUGCAAAGAUUUGGAAGGGCAAUGUGGAAGUGGGUCACAGGUGCAUAAUGAAUCUUCUGUCAGACCAUUUAUCCUUUAAUCAUACAUAGUUUAUGCAGCUUCUUCACUUCAGGAUACAUUAGCAUAGAGAGAGCUCAUCCAAUUCCCUGUCAAAUACUUCCAUGCACAAUACAAGUUUCUAUAGGACUGAAGGAGAAGGUGACUAUUGACUUCCCUUAGUCUUCCUACUUAUUGAUGACUGAAAACAUUUCAGUACAGAAUAAAGUAGAUAAUGAGUUACUGAGUCCAGGCAUUCUCUACAUAUUGGCUUUCAAAACUGUCACUUAGUAUCAUAGCAAAAAUCACCUAACCAUAGGUUAUGGGCAGGACUUGGGUUGAGCCAAAUCUAUCCCCAUCUCCACGUUCUAAAGAGAGAAAGAUUUAGGUGAGGUAGCCUGUCUUCUGGUGUGAGAUAUUAUCAUAUUGUCCUGACUUGACACUUCUCUGUAUACAGAUAUUCUGAUUUUAGAGUCCCAUGUACUUGUAACUAAAUGGCAUAGACUACUUUAGAGCAUCAUUCUGUCAUGUAAUGGUAUGCUGAGAUGUGUUAGCCUUCUCUUUGAAAAUGCAAGUUCAGGGUCAGGAACCUAUUAUGCAUAUAACCACGUUUUAAAAUAGCACCAUUCUCUGAUUCCAUCUCUCUCACUCUCUCCUCUCUCUCUUUCUCUCUCUCAACACACACACACACACACACACACACACACACACACACACACACACGCACGCACACACACCAUCUAUACAAUGUAUCACUAUUCCUUUAGUUUCCAGGAACAUGGAGUUUGUCUAUCUGUUCACCAGCAGCCCCUGGUAUGCGAUAGGAUGUGAUAAGCACUUCAAAGAUUUCCCAAAUUAAUGAAUAUUAUUCACUGGGAUAGUCCUAAGUCCAAGUGUUCUUUCCUGUUUCCUGUGCAGUUCAGUUGAUUUUAUUAGGAGGUCUUCACUAGGCUGACAGAUUCUUCAGGAAUUCCUUCUGGUAUAAUAUGUAAACCAAUAUGUCCAUAAAUAUCUCACCUCUCAACCCUUGUGAACUCAUGGUUACCAAAUGUCAUUGCACCCAAGUUUUAGUUCUUACACUGAGUCACUGCUAUGUCUUGCUAAGGAUCCCUUUCUCAGCUUUAAUUUAUCUUCCACACUAGUUCUCAGCAUGCAUUUCUAGAAUCAUCAUUUUCAAUGGUCAUUCUAGCACUGAUGGAAGUCAGAUUAUAUCAGUAAGACAUAAAAGAUCAAAUUCAAACAAAUAAGGUUCAAAUCUUCUAGUCAGUCUUUUCCCUUGCACAAGUUACUCUUUUCUGAUCAUUAAGCAUCCACACCAUAAAUAUUAAUGAUAAUAUCUGACACCUUUGUGGCACAACGUCAACAUUAAAUUCACAGUUUUGAUUAAUAUUACUAAUAAUUUCUGUCUAUACAUUCCUUUCCAAUUCUCCAAAACUGCCUCUCACAACCCCAUUGAAUUGUAAUUGACCAGCAUGAGGUAGAAAGUAUGCCACCUCAACUCCGUGCUACCUGCCUACCAGAGCUUCUAGCGCAAGGGAGUCUCCCUAUACGCUGCAUGGGUCAACAGCAUCUUAGAAACACUUUGAAAGGGAAGAAGUUUUUCCCAUAAGAAAAUUGUCAUCAUUAAACAAUAGCUCUUAGGGUUGGAUGUGUUUGUGUGUUUGGAUGCUUUGUUUCCAGCUGGCCGAACAGUUGGGGAGCGUGUGGAAACUUGUGGACAUGGGGCUAUCUGGCUUAUUUAGGGUAGUGGUAGAAGAGUUUGAGGGUUGAGAUUAGCUCUGCUUUUUGCCCUUUCCCCCUUCUUUCUGGUAACUACCUGUAACAGGUAGUUUCCCUAAGUUGCUGCCGGCCACAGAUGAUCUUUCUGAUGGUCAAUCCCACUCAAUCAGAAGCUCCAAUCUGAUAGGAGGCUUUAUGAGCUGUAUGCUGGCAUUCAUUCCUGAUUUUAAUUAUGUUAAUAUCUUCUUGCUGCCAGUUGAAUAGUAGACAUAUACCUUCAUACUAGAACAUUUGCUUAUGUGAUGUGAACAGCAACUAGGAAAUGCAGGCUCUAUUUAACACACUUUUAACACUAUCCAUUUCCUGCCAUGAUGGGACAAGUUAGCUCUGCUGUGUGAAUCAGAAAGUAAUUACAAUAACACAUAAAAUUCUUAAUUUCUUUAACUACCAUGACUUUAUUAGAAAUGUAAUGCCAUUUCCACCAAUUCAUGGGCCCUGGAGGUCUUUCUGUCUUGCAGUGUCUUCCCCACCUUAUGAACUUGAUUGACAGACAGUACAUUACUCUCUUUACUUUUCUAAGAUAGUUCUUUUCAUUUCCAUUGCAAAUUUCUAACUCUUGCUAUAUUUUUUAGAAUCUCAUGUAUGGGCAUGAUACUCACAUCCUUCCUUCCCUCUCUUUCCUUCUUUUUACUCCUCAAAUUCAUGACAUCUUAUCCUUUCAUUGUUAUUGUUACAUUUAUACCAUUUAUAAUAUAAUCUGCUGGGAUCAUUUUAUGUUGUUCAUAUGCAUAUGUGUUUAGGACUGACUGCUUGGAAUUGGAUCAUUUACCACAAGAUAAUUCUUCCUGACAAUCAUAACUAACCUGUAACUCUUCAUCUUGGGAUAGGACCUUCGGAGAUUUUGCCUUUUCCACUCUGGCAUUUCACAGGAUGUGUUAUAUUUAGGCAACCAUAUUUUUGUGAGUCUGUGAAUGUAGCUUCUUUGUCAUGUCUAGAAGACUAUCUCUCAGCAGAUACCAUGGUUCUCUGGCUCUUAUGAUCUUACCAUCUCCUUUUCUGCCAUUUUCUCUGAGCUUUGAUGCAGGGGCCUUGUUGCUGAUAUAUAAGUAGGCUCGGUCAUCCCAUAGCCGGGUGUUUCCUCCAUUUUAAUGUUUUGAUGCAUUGUGUCUUUCUGUAAUGAUCUGUCUGCUACAUAAGAUGUUCCUUUUAUAAGAGGUGGGACUUAAAUCUGAAGUCUUUCUGAGAGCCACCUCUGACAUCUCCCCUUUUCUCAUCUUGAGCUUUUACAACUCCCCUGAUCAAACAUGCACCUAAAAAUCAUCACCAUCAAGCCUGUUUCCCAAAUCUGCAUACAGCCUUUUGCAGACUCCUGAUUAUUGGUUUCCCCUCCUGGUCCUUUCCCAGUUUUCAUGGACGCCUUGACUAACCACUUCUCAACAAGGCAAGCCUCAUAUUUUGGCAUUCCCCAACCUUCCUUCUAUCUCUACCACAUUUUUCCCAUGUAUAUAAUAAUGCUAAUUUUUUAAAGAAACUAGCCAUAUGAUUUUAUAGAGAUAAGCCACUCUCAACACUGUUCUAGGAAUCAGAAGACCAAGGAAGGAAUAGAAUGUUUCUAAUGGCAGCAACUUGUAAUAAUUCAUGGAAGCAAUGUGAACGCAGGAAAUCAAAGAUGUCAAAAGUCCAUACUUUAAAAAAAUUUAUUUCUUCUUUGUCAAUAACAUUAACAACAAAAUUGAAGCUGAUCCUACCACACCUAGCAAGUCCUAGGUAGGCAGGCAUGAUGGAAGACAUAGGUAGAAGACUAUAUGGUUCAUUGUUUGCCAAAUCAGACUUAUCUCUUAAUCCAAGAUAGAUAGACCUAUGAGAGAUAGACCUGAAGAGCUAGCUAAUGUUUAAGCCAAGAAGGACAAGUUCAGAUACACUAGUUAUCAUACUUUCAUGGUAACUGAUUGACACCAAACCGAAACAGAAGUCAAUGAGAUUCCAUGUAAUGAGUAAACUGUGUAAACACUGAACACCACAUAAAUAACGCAGCAAUUAUUACUGUGAAGAAGACUUAAUCCUACUGAAGCUUCACCCUGGUCCCUGAUGCUGUGAGACAAGAACAGGAGGAGGAGGAGACACCUGGGAUAGUUCUAGACAUGUCUAGGGCAUCUGGAGAUAGCUCUCGGCAUGUCCCUGAUCUACAGAGGAUUUUUCCUUCCUGGGAUUCUAUAUUCGUUCAAAACCAGAAGUUGUUUUUUCUCUACUUCCAAUAAUUGUGUGACAACAGUGAUAACUAAUUUUCUAACUAUUUUAGAUCAUUAUUUUUGGUGAAAAAUUAUUAGAUAUUUAUAAGUCUUCUUACCUUCAAAUUCCAUGACUGCUAUCACUUUGGUUAUUUCAGUAAUUUAUUUAAUAAUCAUCUAUGAUAACCUUUUGCUAAUGGAAUGGUAAACAAUGUGAAUGUGCUAUUUGGGGAUCUUCUUUCAAUAAUGAAAUUUAACCUUGCUGCAAUACUGAUGAUUUUUUGUUGUGUUACAAUGCUACCUGUCAGCUAUAUAGGUGGAUAGUCAUUUUCAUUCCAAGAACACAGACUUCAGAACACAGUGGUCAAUUGUAUACUGAUACAAUGUUACCAUCAGGUCAAUGGUUUGUAGCUACAGAAUCUCAGACUAAGGAGAAAAAUAAAUAUGUGUAGUACUCAUAUGCAAGGAUAUGGUGGUUUAGGUUUUUGCUUUUUGGCUCUGAAAGAAAGGAAUGCAGCAAGCACUUUCAAAUUCACUGAUAACUUCUUUCAUGUGAUGUAUGUCACUUAUAAAAAUAAAACUAAGGACACUUUGGUGCCUAAAUGACCCACAGGAAGGCAUCUGAAAAGUGGGCAAUUUGGCCUCAAAUUUUGAUGUUCUGUCUGGAAAAUAUCACAAAAACAUAUGCAUUUUAAAUACAUAAAGAAUGUUGGGGCUGCCUGCUUAGAAUAUUGGGAUUGAUUUAUGUCAUUUCGGAUUUUUCUUGAAAGUACUCAACAGGCCCCAGACAUAAUCAAUGAGCAAUUUGCAAAGAAACUAAAUCAUUUCUUUAAAUCAUAAUCACAUUUAUGAAAACGAUUUCUGUGUGAGCGAUAAGAGAAUCAUAGACCAGGAAGCCUAUGCAUAGGUCUCAUGUGUGUGACCUUGGGCAAAUAUCUCCUUCAUGCAUCAAGUUUUCUAAUGUACAUUAUUUUAACAGGUCUAGCAGCAGAAAUAUAUGUAUUACAUAUAUUAUACAUAUAAUAUAUAUAUGUGUAUAUAUAUAUGUAUAUAUAUAUGUAUAUAUAUAUAACAUGUCAAUAUGAUGCUCAAAACCUCCAGUGCUCCCAAGUGGGGCAAAAACACUCUUCUCAGCAAUGUUCUAGGCUGCCUUUAUUUCCCAUUUCCCCCUCUUUCUAAUCUGUCUUCAACAAAGUGUUUAGAUUCCUUCAUUUUCUCUCUAGUUUUCCAUGACUAAGGUUGCUAUAUAACCUUCCUCAAUUCUUAUUUGAAUGUAAGAUUCUUGUGAAUAGUCACUGUCUCACAACCUUACAACCUCCCUUGCUCAACUUUACCUGUGCCCUGGAGGCUUUCAAAUGUGCUCCCCGUGUUACAGCCUAUGAUAGGUAAUUGUGUUGAUUUGGAUGAGCUAAGGAAUAACCAUUACAUCUGGCCAUGUCUUUGAAAGCUUUUCUGGAGGAAAGAAUUUGAAUAACAGGUGAUGUGAAAAAUGAUCCAAUUCUUCAAGGGCUGAGGGACUGUACAAAGGCAGAAGGAUGGCCAGUUCUAUCUCCUAUCUUGAUCUAGAGCCUCAAUGUUCUCCUGCCCUCUGACAUUACAGUUCCUGGCUCUUAAGUCUUUAUACUCCAGAAACAUCAAUAUUUCCUUCCCAUUACUUUCUCCAUGUUGUGAAAUAUACCAUUGUCAUUUUGUUUUGUUUUGUUUUUUAAUUUUUACCAGUUAUUUUAUUUAUUUACAUUUCAAAUGUUAUCCCUCUUCCCAGUUUCCCCUCUAAAAGCCCCCAUUUCACUCUCCUUCCCCCUCCCUCCAUGAGGGUGCUCCCCCUGACUCCUACCCCCACCCUGCCAUGGCAUUCCCUUACACUGGGGCAUCAAGCCUUCACGGGAUCAAGGGCUUCCCUUCCCAUUGAUACCAGACAAGGCCAUUUUCUGCUACAUAUACAGCUGGAGUCAUGGGUCCACCCAUGUGUACUCUUUGGUUGGCAAUUUAGUCCCUGGGAGCUCUGGGGGGUCUGGGUGGUUAAUAUUGUUAUUCUUCCUGUGGGGUUGUAAACCCCUUCAGUUCCUUCAGUCCUUCCCCUAACUCCUCCAUUGGACUCCCUGUGCUCAGUAUGAUGAUUGGCUACAAACAUCUGCAUCUGUAUUAGUACGGCUCUCAGGAGACAUCCAUAUCAGGCUUCUGUCAGCAAGCAUUUCUUGGCAUCAGCAAGUGUCUAUGUUUGGUUGGAAUGGAUCCCCAGGUGAAGCAGUCUCUGGAUGACCUUAAGUCUCUGCUUCACUCUUUAUCUCUGUAUUUCCUUUAGACAGGAGCAAUUCUGGGUUAAAAUUUUGAGAAGGGUGGGUUGCCCCAUCCUUCAACCUGGGGCCAUACCUAACCUCUGGAUACAGUCUCUAAAGAUUCUCCCUCCCCUUUGUUGGGUAUUUCAGCUAAUGCCAUCCCGUUGGGUCCUGGGAACCUCUUGCUUUUCUGGCAUCUGGGACUUUCUGGUGGCUACACCCAGUUCCUUAUCCCCUAUUGCUGCACACCUCUGAACAAUUUCCUGACCCUUUGUACAUCCCACCCAUCUCCUCUCACACCCAAUCCUACCCACCUUUUUCCUCUCCUCCUCCUCUCUUCCUCACAAGUCCCUCCUUCCCUCAACCUCCCCUGAUUUUGUUCCUCCUUCUAAGUAGGACUGAGGCACCCACACUUUGGUCUCCCUUUCUCUUGACCUUUAUAUGAUCUGUAAGUUGCAUCAUGAAUAUUCUGUGCUUUUUUCCUAAUAUUCACUUAUCUUCCAUCCAUUUGCCUGUAAAUUUCAUGAAGUCAUUGUUUUUAAUAGUGUAAAUCUACCACAUUUUUUGUAUCCAUUCCUCUAUUGAGGGACAUCUGGGUUCUUUCCAGCUUCUGGCUAUUAUAAAUAAAGCUGCUAUGAACACAGUGCAGCAGGUGUCCUUGUCAUAUGUUGAAGCAUCUUUUGGAUAUAUGCCCCAUUAUCACUUUGAUUCUCAGGCAUUGGACUAAAUUACAUAGCCACUUUUCUAGGUUCUCUAGCUUAAGGUGGCAAAUGGUGGCAUAUCUUCAUGUCCAUGAACCCAGGAGUAAAUUUAUAAUGUUUUUGUCUAUCCACCUACCUAUAUCUACCUACCAUUUAUAAUUUACAUUUCUCUAGCACUUAUAAUUUAUCUGCAUUUGUCUAUCAUCUAUCUAAUCUGCCUAAAUUUACUAUCAUGUAUACCUGUUGUCAAUUGUUUAUCUAUGAUGUCUAUCUAUCUAUCUAUCUAUCUAUCUCUGUCUAUAUAUAUUAUCUAUCUACUCAUCUAUCAUUCCUCAUCAUUAGUCUAUCAUAUAUGUGUGUUUAUCUAUUAUGAAUGAUUUACAUCUGUCUAUUUACCUGUCUUUCUGUCUCUUCUUAGUUCAGUUCCUGUGGCGAUCUCUGACUGAUUCUCUCACUUUCUUUGCUAGAAUGAAGUGAAUGAAAACACGGACUUUUCUAUUUUGUUUACUUUUGUAUUCCCCACACCAAUUAUCACCCCUAAAAGAUAAAACAAAACACUUAAUUGUCGCUUCCAACCCCGACCAGCAGGAAAGGAGCGACACAACGAAGUUCUUCUCAAAGCAGUUUAUUCAGGAACCUUUUAGCAUGUAAGCAGCAGCAAUCUCUUUUCUUCCCUUCCUUCUCCCCCCAGCGCCCGAGCACACUCCCUUAUAUCCUCCCUCAACUCCGCCUCUCCGUCCAGACCGCAUAAUCUCAGUUCAUAGGUCCACGUCACACGGCCUGAUCUUGCGUCAUGGUGCGCCUGCGCAGCUCUCACAAUGGACGUGGCUAGUUUCAGGUGUGUGAGGAAGUCAGGUGCUAGUCAUGAGACUUAGCUGCAGUCCCAGGAGCCAUCUUGGGACUGCCGCCACACCCUCUCCCACAUCCUUUGUGACUGUAUAGCUCAGAAUGGCUCCCUACACUUAAUAAUAUAUGUUGAACACAAAAAUGAAUUGGUCAUGUAUCUCCUGAAUACAUAUUGCCUUCCAUACAUGAUCAUGGCUACGGAAGACUCCAAGAUGAAGAAAUUGUGGUCCUCACUCUUGAAAGCACAUAAUCGGCAGAUGUGAGCUUAACCUUACCAAGAUAAAUGAGUAGGUUUGAGUGUUUCAAGACCUUUUGAACAGGGUUUUGUGUAACCAAGAAUGGCUUUGACCUAACGCCUAUGUACCCAAGGAUGGCCUAUAACUCCUGACUCUCUUACCUUCACCUCACACUCACUGGAGCAUUAUUUUCAUAUGUGGCUACUGAACAUUUUCAAACCUUCAUGUGGCUCCUCUCUCAUUUCUGCGGCAAAGUGCUGCAUAGAAAAAAGCCUUAACUCGAGUGACUAAGAAGCAGUCUUGCUUACUGGGGUUUGGAGGUAAACAAGCCACUUGGUUAGCUGGCUUGAAGAAAGUGGAAUGAAGAGUUCUGAAAGACACCUGUGUCAUCCAAAUAACCCAUUCUCUGUACACACCCAGCACUUACCUGAUCUCAAGCUGGACAACUCCAAUUUGUCCCCAAAGAGAAUCCUACUCUCCAGUCACCAAAGAACAGAAGGGCUAGCUCAUGUUCUGCCAACGUUUCUUCCUGGACACGCCCUGCCUAUGUCUUUGGCUUUCACCAGUCAAGCACACAAUCUGCUUUUCGUUUUUGUUUUCAGUUAGUUCCUGAUCGUCUACAGACCUAUGUCCAUAAAAUAUUGGAAGUAAGGGGGAAAAUGCCUAGCCACAGUCUACAACUUUGUUUCAACUUACGCAGGCAGGAAGGCAGGUAAUUGAAAAUGAGGCUGAGAGUCUUAGCCAUUAGCCAGCAUCUGGCUACUGACACCUAAACGCAGCCUUUCAAGAGGGCUUAACGUCCUGAAAGUCAGUACCUCUAAAGUCAUGGAGCUGAUUAAUAAUGCCCCUGCCUGAGUCGGAAUUCCUGCUGAGGCUCUUGCUGGUGGUUGAAGAGUCUUCCUGCAGCUUUCAUAAAUUAGUUGAUAACUGAA